rnacentral:rRNA from 1 species
UACGGAGGGAGCUAGCGUUGUUCGGAAUCACUGGGCGUAAAGCGCACGUAGGCGGCUUCUUAAGUCAGGGGUGAAAUCCUGGAGCUCAACGUCCAGAACUAGCCUUUGAUACUGAGGAGCUUGAGUCCGGGAGAGGUGAGUGGAACUGCGGAGUGUAGAGGUGAAAUUCGUAGAUAUUACGGAAGACCACCAGUGGCGAAAGGCGGCU